AGUGGCGAAUUGCGGCCAUUGUCGUUGUGAGUUUGUGGGCUUGUGUGUGAGUAAUGGUGAUUGAGUGUGUGACUAUCAUGUCGUGUGCGUGUGAGUUGGAUGGUAGGGGUGUGUUUAUGAGGGUGAGUGUGUGUGGGUGUGUGAGUAUCAUGGUGAGUAUGUGAGUGAUGGUAUGUGACAGUGUGAGUUUGAUGGUGAUUGUAUCAUGGUGAGUGCAAGCAAUACUGUGAGCUUGACUUAUUUCCCCCCCCCUCCCUUUACCCACUCUUCCUCCCUCUCCCUGCCCUCCCCUCACUCUCCCCCAACCCUCUACUUCCCUGCCUCUAUCCCUCUCGGCGUGGCCGAGUGGUUACUUCUAAAGAAUUAUGGAACUCUUUAUCCCUCUCCUUUCUCCCGUAACUACCUCGCCUGUUAUACAGGAGAUCGUGGGUUUGAUCCCUACCCUCACAUCUGCUAUAUAUUUCGAGUUUGCAUGUCUCUCUCUCCCCGUGGUCGCGUUCAGAGUGUUUGGUUUCUAUAAAUGUCGACGUGAUGAUAGGCCACUUCGUUGACCUAUCAUUUGUGGCAUUUUCCCGUCUGAAGAAGAGCUGUGUAGCACGGUGGGCAUUACCUGGAAAAAUUUAAAUAGUUUAGUUUCCUCUUUUCCUCCUCCCUUCCUCCCUCUCCACACCCAUCCCCCCCAGCACAACAACAAGAAGCAGGAGGAGGAUGGUUUGUUUCCCAAGCCGAGCACUUCCGGGUCCACCUUCAUGAUCCUCCCUCUGCCCCGGGGGUGGGGGCGGGGAGAUCCCCUUGAACAGGGUUACGCUGCUACUUCCGUUAAGGCCGGGGCAAGUGGAGGCGGCGCUGUGCAUUGUGGGUGGCGAGAGGCUGAUUUGGAUUCCCUCUCACGGCCACCAUUGGUGGUUCGCGAGCUUCUGAAGUGGCGGCUCGCUGGCUGGGCCUCCUCUACGUCGACUCAGCCAGAAGAAUGUGGUGCAGGUUCAGGAGUUUACUGGCUGCACUCCGACCUUUGGCCUUGGCUGUCGCCCAAGUGGGAUUGUCGCACAGCAGUCAAACCCAUAGCAUCAGUAUCUGUCCCAUGACCUCCUCCUGCACCUAGCCUGGCACAGCAGUCAACCCAUGACACCUGGCUCUGUCUCGUGACCUCCUGCACAUAGCCUGGCACAGCAGUCAACCCAUGGCACCUGGGUUGUUGUGAUAUCACCAUUAUGUAGUGGAAAAUUACGGCUGUUGUCGUUGUGAGUUUAUAGGUUUG